rnacentral:rRNA from 1 species
AGCGAACGCUGGCGGCAGGCCUAACACAUGCAAGUCGAACGGAUCCUUCGGGAUUAGUGGCGGACGGGUGAGUAACACGUGGGAACGUGCCCUUUGGUUCGGAACAACUCAGGGAAACUUGAGCUAAUACCGGAUGUGCCCUUCGGGGGAAAGAUUUAUCGCCAUUGGAGCGGCCCGCGUCUGAUUAGCUAGUUGGUGAGGUAACGGCCCACCAAGGCGACGAUCAGUAGCUGGUCAGAGAGGAUGGGCAGCCACACUGGGACUGAGACACGGCGCAGACUCCUACGGGAGGCAGCAGUGGGGAAUCUUGCGCAAUGGGCGAAAGCAUGACGCAGCCAUGGCGCGUGAAUGAUGAAGGUCUUAGGAAUGUAAAAUUCUUUCAGCGGGGACGAUAAUGACGGUACCCGCAGAAGAAGCUCCGGCUAACUUCGUG